GCUGGGUGUGGUGGCGUGCACCUGUAAUCCCAGCUACUCGGGAGGCUGAGGCAGGAAGAUUGCUUGAGUUCAGGAGUUAAGGCUGCAGUGAGCCAAGAUCGCACCACUGCACUCCAGCCUGGGCAACAGAGUAAGACCAUGUCUCAA
rnacentral:SRP_RNA from 1 species